rnacentral:ncRNA from 2 species
GUCCGCUGACCUACCAUCGAUACCGAUAGGCGACUGCGGAUCGUGGAAGCCGGUGCGAAUCCGGCGCGGUCCCGCCACUGUGAUCGGUUUCAGCGUGCGCUGAUCCCGAGAGCCAGAUACGCACCGCAGUCACCACCUCACA